rnacentral:rRNA from 1 species
AAUUAACGCUGGCGGCAUGCCUAACACAUGCAAGUCGCACGAGAAAGCCCCUUUCGGGGGGCAAGUAAAGUGGCGCACGGGUGAGUAACGCGUGGAUAAUCUACCUCGUUCUGGGGGAUAACCCAUCGAAAGGUGGGCUAAUACCGCAUAAUCCGGCUGAAUUUUGGUUUGGCCGGCAAAGGUGGCCUCUUCAUGAAAGCUACCGGGAAGAGAUGAGUCCGCGUCCCAUUAGCUUGUUGGUAGGGUAAAGGCCUACCAAGGCCACGAUCGGUAGCUGGUCUGAGAGGAUGAUCAGCCACACUGGGACUGAGACACGGCCCAGACUCCUACGGGAGGCAG